rnacentral:snRNA from 1 species
UCCUCUUCACUAUCAUCC